rnacentral:rRNA from 1 species
UACGUAGGGUGCGAGCGUUGCCCGGAUUUAUUGGGCGUAAAGCGCGCGCAGGCGGUCCUUUAAGUCUGAUGUGAAAGCCCACGGCUCAACCGUGGAGGGUCAUUGGAAACUGGGGGACUUGAGUACAGAAGAGAAGAGUGGAAUUCCACGUGUAGCGGUGAAAUGCGUAGAGAUGUGGAGGAACACCAGUGGCGAAGGCGACUCUUUGGUCUGUAACUGACGCUGAGGCGCGAAAGCGUGGGGAGCAAACAGG